rnacentral:rRNA from 1 species
CCUACGGGGGGCAGCAGUGGGGAAUCUUGCGCAAUGGGCGAAAGCCUGACGCAGCGACGCCGCGUGCGGGAUGACGGCCUUCGGGUUGUAAACCGCUUUCAGCAGGGACGAGGCCGCAAGGUGACGGUACCUGCAGAAGAAGCCCCGGCUAACUACGUGCCAGCAGCCGCGGUAAUACGUAGGGGGCGAGCGUUAUCCGGAUUCAUUGGGCGUAAAGCGCGCGUAGGCGGCCAGUUAGGUCGGGAGUCAAAUUUCGGGGCUCAACCCCGUCUCGCUCCCGAUACCGGCUGGCUUGAGUGUGGUAG